UACGUAGGGUGCGAGCGUUAAUCGGAAUUACUGGGCGUAAAGCGUGCGCAGGCGGUGAUGUAAGACAGAUGUGAAAUCCCCGGGCUCAACCUGGGACCUGCAUUUGUGACUGCAUCGCUAGAGUACGGUAGAGGGGGAUGGAAUUUCCUGUGUAGCGGUGAAAUGCGUAGAUAUAGGAAGGAACACCAGUGGCGAAGGCGGCUCACUGGUCCAUUACUGACGCUGAGGUGCGAAAGCGUGGGGAGCAAACAGG
rnacentral:rRNA from 1 species